GGAAACAACAAGGUUGUGUAUAAUUAUGCAAGACAACAGGCAUCAACCCUGUACCUAUGUUCUCAGAUGAUGAUAAAGCAACGGAGGCAAAGCAAAUCAGGGAAGGAGUAUAGGGAAAGUAGGGGGAAACAGGAAAUUGGUGUUUUAAAUAGGGCAGCCAGUAAAGGCCCCACUGAGAACACGACACGAAAUACAAUCCUGCAGGAAGAGGAUGGGUAGCCCAUGAGGAUAUCAGUGGAGGAAAAGUAAAAAGAAUCAGCAAAAUUGAUGUGCUGGAUGUAGCCCCAGACAAAGCAUAUCCUAGUCCCAUUUAUGCCAGUUGUAGGCUUUAGACAAGUCACUUUCCCUCACUGAGCCUAUUUCCUUCUUUGCAAAAUGACAAUGUGCUGCUUGAUUCCCUCUAGACUCCUUUGUGGCUCAAACAUUUCCCCAUAUCUGUGUUCUAAGGAUCCUCUUAUGUCUUAUUCUGGGUAGAAGUAUACAUGUAUGUGUGUGUGUUUGUGUGUGUGUGUAUUUAUAGGUAUAUACCAUAAAAAAUGGUGGGAUAAAGUUUCAUAAACAUUAAUACCCUAAUCACUUGCAAAAUGCUCUAAUACUUUUUAUUUUUUCUAUGUAGAUUUUUUAAAUGCUGGUUAUGCCCAAGUAAAUUGAUUCACUAUGCACUAAUGGUCUUAAAGGACUGUUUACAGACAUUGAAAUCUUCUUGGUUGUGGAGCCAAAUCUGACAUCAGCAAAACCACAUACUCAUCCAAGAAAAAAAAAAAAAAAAGUGGGCUCAGUGCUGGAGGCUUCCUCUGCCCUCAGCUUUCAACACCCAGAAAACCCAUAUGCCCACACCGGCCUGCAAAACCAGAGGAAAGGCUUAAGUGUUAAACAUCUCUGGCCUUGGAUCCCAGCUAUGCCACUGUUUUCCUUUGACAUUAAGCAAGCUACAUAACCACACUGAGGGUUAG
rnacentral:lncRNA from 1 species